AAAAAAUAAAAAUAAAAAUAAAAGCUCAAGCCAGUUUAACAGACUGUGUAAUGUUUCAGAUCUGCGACUGCACUAAGAAAUAAAAUAGAACAGACUAUAUCCACCUAAGGCGCCUCUCGGCUCACAGGAAGUCUUAGAGACUCACCCUCCGGUCAAGGCAGAGAAAGAAGCUUCCGCAUCCACCUCGGAGGCACUGGCGCCGUCCGGGUCCGCCUCUGGGGCGCCCUCAAUGCGCAGUUUAUCGCGGCAAUCUUCCUGCUUCUCUCCGCUACAAAAUGACAAGCGCCUGAGCCCAGGUCUCAGCACCGCGACACCUCGCAACGGCGACACGGAGAGUCGCUGCAACAAGCGGCAGCGCGGCCGUCACCCCCCGAGGGUGCGUGGGGUGCGCGGGGACGUGGCUGCACGGGAGUACUGGGGUGCGCGGGGGUCCCAGGGUGCACGUGGCAUACUGAGGUGCAUGGGGGCCCGGAGUGCACCUGGGUCCCGGGCUGCAGGUGGGGUCCCGUGGUGCAGGUGGGGUCCCGGGCUGCAGGUGGGGUACUGUGGUGCACGUGGGGUCCCCGGGCUGCAGGUGGGUUCUGGGGUGCGGGGGUGCUGGGACACACGAGGUACGGACGGCGCUCGGGGAUCCCGGGAUGCAGGAGUCUCCUGGGGUCGGGGCUGGUCCCGGGGCUCGUGCGCACGGCGCAAGUCCCAACCCGGGUCGCGAGCCCGGGGGUUCCCGCGCCUCAGCGCCCCGCCCGCCGCGCUCUCCGGCCCAGCGGCGAAAACGCUGGGCACCGACGCUGGGGAAAAAGCGUCGGGCCGCGCGGGCGGGCAAGCGCACUGACCGAAGCCGCCCCGGCGGGCCAGGCGCACCCGCGCACCCAGCCGGAGCCCCAUGGGCCGACACCGGGAAGGUGCCUGAGCGCGGCCGGCGCCCCGCCCCCCUCCGGCCCCCUCCGGCCCCCUCCCGCCGCCGCCGCGCGCACGGGGCGGGGCCUGCUCUGCGGAGUGGGCGGGCCUAUACUGAUAAGUGGGCGGGGCCCCGCGCCGGCGGGGGGAUUAGAGGCCGGCGCCGGCGGGUGGGCGGAGCCUCCAGGCGCGUACGCCGUGCUGGCCACGCCCCCUGCAGGAGCCCCGCCCCCGCGCGCGCCUGCCUGCUCCCCACGCGACGUCGGGCUCCGGGAGGCAAAGGCCGGCGGCCGCGAACCCAGCCGGCUGGAGGGUGGCCUCUGCCGGGGGCUGGCGGCCCAGCCGUUCGGGGUCCCCACCCCCGGGCCGUCCCCCGCCGAGUCCGGCUGGAGCCCUGCCUGUGACCCGCCUGUGACCCUGAGCAGGUGGCUGGCCCCGUCUCCCUCCGGACCGGCCGCGUGUGUCCGCAGUGGGGACCCGCGGUGACCGGGCCCGGGCUCUGCAGCAGGUGGGCGGCGGCGGGGGCAGGACGUCCCCUGCAGCCCUCCCUCCGCGGCCUGGGCAGCCCUGGCUGGACGGGCGCCGGGCCGGGAGCGCGCGGGCUAGGCGUGUCCCUCCGGGGCCGUCUGCUGGUCACCUGGCUCGUGCGGCUGGUUCCCGGCCCGAUGGUCCCGCCGGGCGGAAGGGCCGGGGGCGGUCCUCGCCCUGGGAAGGGCCUUCGGACUGCGGGAUCCGACCUCCGUCAUUUGAGUCCCCGAGCUUUACAUGGGGUGGUGAGAAGGGGUCAGAGCCACCUGCCCCCUGGGUCCUGUUGGCUCACCCUGAGCCUGGGCGCAGGCAGGGGCUGCACGCUGGCAGGGGCCUGCAGUGGUCCUGCGGCUGGACAAACGCGGGAUGGCCUGGUGGUGCAGCGUGAGGCACGAGGGGGCUGGGUGGGAGCUAUUUCAGGUAGAAAACGGAGUGGCAGCAGGAAGAGACCCAAAGUGGGUGAGGCCUGAGCUCCCAGGUGUCCCUGCAGUGAGUGCCAGGGUCGCAUCGGGAUGCAGCUCCUGGGUGCCAGGCAGAGGCCUCCAUGUGGAUUCUGGGCCGGUGAGGCAGGUCCUGUAAAGGCUUGGAGCCGAGCCCCCUGUAGCCAGGACUGGUGGGAAGAGGUGCCCUGCCCUCUGAAGAGCAGAGCCACAGCCUGGCUGGUGCAGGGAGUGCAGCCAGCAACAGGUGGGGCUGUGGGAGAGGCACAGGGGGUUGGGGGCGGGGCACGUUCCAGGGCGCAGGGCCCCACAGGCCUCUGCACUGCCAUCUUUAAUCCCCGCCCAGUGUCCAGGGUGCUGGCUGGGUUACCCAGGACGAGAGCAAGACACACCUGGGGGCACCUGUGCAGGGCAGGGGGAGCUGGGUUGUCUUUCCUGGCCCAUCUGGACCCCUGACAACCAGCUCAAGUCAACAAGGUCACCUUUGUGUCUGUCAAAAGCCUUGCAGCUGAUUAAGUUAAAUCCACCUGCCCCUCAGCCCUUAUUUGGAUAAUAGUAAUUAUUAUUGCCAUGUGUGGGAGGGUCAGAUCAGGGCCACGUUUUGUGUGGAACAUGCUGGAACACGAGCUCAGCCCGCUGUGGUGUUGUGUCCUGAGAGCUGGGCCCUCAUUGGCUGGGCGCCCAGUCACAGCGCUGUUCAUCAGGCCCCUGCUGGGACCAGCCUGCGGGAAGGCAUUGGAAUCACGCCCAUCUUGUAGAUGAGGAAGCUGGAGCUCAGGGCCGAGGGGCUUGUCCCUCCAGGCAGAACGCGCACUUGUCAGCGCUGUGCUGGCCUCUGUCCUCCCUGUGCCAGGACCUCUCAAGGCCCUGAGGACAUAUGCUCCCUGCCCCCUGUGGGUGGAGACAAGCACCCCCUAACCCCACCCGAGGGGCCAGGAACCAGAAGAGGCGUGUGGCAGGCACCUUCCAGGAGGAGGGACUGGAGCUGUCUUCAUUGGUCUCAAGGACAGCAGGGCUGUCACUGGGAGAGACAGCGCCAGGUGGACAGGGCAGCACACGCGGGUGGGAUGCCCACCGUAUGCUGUGUCCUCAUCAGGGGCCCUGAGGCCUGGGACCUGCAGCCAGCUGGAGACAGACACAGACAUGGAAGAUGUGUGCUGUAGUGGGCACACAGACGUGGAGCGGACCCCUGAAUGAAAGGCCGGGCGGGUGGCAGGCUGGUCUAGUCUGGGUUGGCAAGGCGCCUGGAGGAGGCGAUGCCCAUGUUGGGGUUUAAAGCCAGGUGGAGGUGAGAGGAAGAACGGGAGAGGGCGCCCCAGGCAGCAGGCACAGCGCGGGCAAAGGCCUGGAGGGGGCCCUGCGAGGGGAGUCUCCCGGAGGCUCCUCUCCACAACGCCUGCAGGGCCUUGCACACCCGCCACCCAGAGCCCCGCAAGGCUCCCGCCCCUGCCUCCUCUCCAGACCCUGGGACCCCUCCCACAAACAGGCCAGCUCCCUCCCCCACCUUAGGGGCCUGGGGUGCCCGUCCCACAUGCCCUGGCUCCCCCCUCCCUGCCCCUGGGACCCCCAGCUCCUGGUGGCCACUGGCAGAAGGAUCUGAUUGACCUCCCACUUCAUGUCUCUGCUCCUCUCGGCCCCCAGCGUGGAGGAAAGGGCCCUAACGGGGAGGGCAGUUUCUGACACCCCUUUGUGCCAAGCCCGGACAGCUGUUUCGGGCAGGCCCCCACGCCCACCCUGGGCCACCUGGUGUCCCGGCUGCAGCGCCCGGCCUCAGCCACCCAUGCCUGAUGGGGGAGGCUAGGAGGCCCCCUGCCGGCUGGCACAGGAGGUCACUGGACGCAAAGUGGCUCUUUCUGGCCCUAGGACCCUCCUGUGGGAGGACCUUCAGUCUCUGGGGUCGCCCCCUGGCUGACCCUCCAGGCCCAGGGCUGGGCUGUGGCCAACCACUCCAGGAGGCACAGCGGGAACGGUGCCUGGGCUGGGAGACCUGCAAGGGACACAAAAAUGUUGUCAUUUCCUUUAAAAUCAGAAGAAAAAAAUGAAACUUUAGAUCAAAGAAAGUGUUAAUAUAUAUUAGCCUAUUUGUCUUUAUACCAGUGCAACUGUAAAAUGUCAUUUUUAAUUUUUUUUUUUUUUUUUUGGAGGAAAGACCCUUGAAGGAUGCGGCCCUGCAGGACUGGACCAGAGACGGGGCUGGGCCUGGGGGUCCUGGCUUCCCAAGACAGCCAGGGGGAAGCUGCGUGCUUCUCCUGACACGCUUCUGCCGUGUUUUGUGGCCGCGGCUGUCACCCAGCCUGGGCUCAAGGGGGUGGAGAUUAUAGAAAUUAAACUGUGCUUGUAACAGCAGGUUGUGUUGACUCAGGACCGUGGGCUCCCCAAGGGCGGGGCUCCCCAGGAAUGCACCCCACUCUGUAUUUGUUGCACUGAGUUUAACCUAAUCAGUGGUGUCACUGUCACCCGUACUCCUGGCUGCCUCCACUCCCAUCGGGGAGAGGCCGGGCCGUCGAUGGAGCCCUGAGAGAAGGGUGCCUGGCCUCGGCCCCGACACGUUCCCACGCUGCGCUGACUGUCCUGUGCGGGUUUCUGGGGAGACCGUUCCUCCCUGAGUGGCUUUGGGUGGCAGGGACCAGAGCAGGCCUGACCACGCCAGGCCAGGCUCCCCCAGCUCCCUCCUUGGCGAGCUUGGUCUUGCGUCUCCCUUGGUCACCAGGAAAAGCCCAGCUUUCGUGACACCCAGCUGCCGGGCAAUCCCGAGGGAGCACUUGGAUGGAUGCGUUGGUACUGGACCCCAAGAUGGAGCGCAGUCUCUACACACGGGGAAUUGGCGCCAGGCAGGCCGAGCCCAUCAGUGCCCCGGCCCCCCACCACACCAGCCGGGCGUGGAGAGGCCAUCGUGGGUGCCCAGGUCAAGGGCCUGCACCUGACCCACACAGCUACGGGAACAGCCCGCCCUACCGAGGCCAACAGUCUCCUGUGGGGAUGGUCCCCAGGGCCGCGGCCCUACCUGGACGUGCCGCUGUGCCUAUCCCCGGGCCCCAAGGGGCACCUGUCGCCUCUGGGCAGCAGGCAUGGGCCUCCCCGCUCCUGCCGUGGACGAGAUGCCCCUCUACACUCAGAGGCCUCUUCCUCGUCUCCCCCUGCACAGCCCCCCUCCUAGGGAAGUUUCCAGACACCCAUCUGGGAACAUGUCUGCCUGCACCUGCCCUGGAGUGGGGGCCUGUGGAGGACAGGCAGCGCACACAGGGUGAAAACCACUCAAGCCGCUUUUCAGGCUGUCAGACGUCCCCACCCCACGUUUUCACAGCCCUAGUAACUCUCCAGGCCUGGGGUGUCUUCUCCAUUGACCUUCCACACAGAAUUAAAAGCCCCAUUCGAAGAGGAAGCCGGGACCCUGCAGGCUGGGGUCAUGACCCGAGAAGGGCAGAGUGGGGCCGGGCCCCGCCUGAAGCUGACCCCAACCCGGGCCACCACUCAGCUCGCCCUGGUGGCUCCUGCGAUCCCACUGCCGGCCAGACGCUCUCUCCCUCACCCAGACCAGCCCUCACCGGGAGACACGAAGCCGAGUUGGGCAAGGUGAGAGGAGUCCCAGUCUGCCAACUGCCGCCGCCCGCCAAAACUGCCAAGGCCGUGACUCACCAGGAAGCGGUGAGUCAGGUCGCUUGGCUCUGCUGUGUCGUGCCUCUAAGUGGCAAGUCUGCGAGGGGCUCGAAGAAAGGAGAUGCAAAUAGGAUGUGAGGCAGAGUGGCCUUUCCAGUGACUUGCCCCAUCUUGUCCCAGAAGGAGCCACAACGUGGCAUCUUUUGCCAUUCAUUCUGUGUGCUGUCCACAGACAUUCACAAAAAAAGUCCUGCCAUCCAAUAAGUGUGGGCACACUUGGCAACUCCAUACUAUACGGGCUUUGUAGUUGCAGGACUUAUCAGAGCCUUUCAUGUGCUGAUGUCUGGGUAGCUCUAAGGAGGACAUGUGGAAUGCAGCAUUUCCCAGAGAGUUAGACAUUCUGAUCCCAGAGCAUCUCUUGGGCUGGGCUUCGGCGAAGAAUUUUAGAAAUGCCACUGUGGGCCAUGAGGGGCCUUGAUGGUUUUCUGAUGGGACAGCAGGAACAGAACUCCUCGUUUGAUUCAGGAGGUGACCUCUGGAAGCGAGAACCUCCCCGGGCUGCCCACACCUCUGGAGUCCCCAGCGCCCGUGGGAGCAGCCCACAGAGCUGGUGCAAGGCCAGCGGUCUGUUGAUGUCGACGCCUCUGGCGUGCAUGGAGCCGCCCGCCUUUCAGAGCGCCGGUGCGCCCAAUCUCUCCCCUCGGGCUCACGUCAGGCCUGGUCAUGCUCAGCUCCCAUUUUACAGAUGCGGAAACUGAGGCCCAGAGAGGUGGUGACAUUCGUGCCAAAAGUGGGUCUGGGUCCUGCUCAGGCCCAGCAUCAGUCUCGUCAGCCCCUGGGGUGGGCCACCGUCUGGACCGAGAGAGGGCUCAGGCGAGACCGGCGGCCAGCCACAACUCCAGGACGCCAUUCGAGCCCCCGUGCCACGUGGCAGCCCCACCCACGCCCACCUGCCGCCCCUGGAGCGCUGGGCUCUGGGCCUUUCAUGCCACCUCGGUUUGCACGUGUCCUGUGCUCUGGGGGAGUGGGCACAGGAACUUAGGGGCAAUCCUCUGGGGAAAGACCCUUCCUCCAGGGCAGGAGGGUCCGCCAGCCAGGCUGAGACAAGGGCCUGCACCCUGGACAGACGGGGGAGGCAGGGACACCCAGGGAACAGCAGGAGCCUUGAUUUGGUCUGGACCCCAUGGUGGGGCAAAGGCCCUGGGGCAAGUGAAGCCCUGGGGCCGAGGGGGAAGCAGCAGUGUUGCCAGAGCCCAGUUAGGAAGGGAGCCCAGCCCGUGGAGCCCAGAGCCUGCUGUGCGCCCGGUGGGGGUGCUGCCUGCCUCACCGCACGCCAGGCCAGCUUGGACAGCUUGGCAGCUCGGGGUGCAGGGAGGCGGACACUGGCCCUCUGUCCAGGAGGGGGUCCCGGCGGGGGAGUGGGGCCCCCAAGCCAUCAUAGGCGGCUCCAGGCUGCCCUGGCUCUGACACAGCAUUUUGGGGAAGCAAGAAAUCGGUGUCUCCCAGGUGGCACCGCAGCGACCCAGUGGGCUCACGCUGGAGCCGAGGACGCGGCCCAGCUGCCCUGAAGGAGAGGCCUCCGUGUCGGCCCAGGGCUGGUGUGAUGGUGAAUUUCGUGUGUCAGCUUGGCUGGAUCGCAGGCGGUCAGACGUUAUUCUGGGUUUUCCCGGGUCGGUGUUUUUGAAUGAGAUUAACGUCCACAUGGAUGGACAUUGAGUAAAGCCCUCCUUGAUGUGGGUGGGCCUCAUUCAAUCAGUUGAAGGCCUGAAUAGAAGAAAAAGACGAGCCUCCCCUCGCAAGAGGGAUUCUCCUGCAGACGCCCUUCAGACUGGAAUUCCCGGGUCUUCGUCCCGCCAGCCCACCCUGCGGAUUCUGUGCUCGCCAGCCUUCCUAAUCCCAUGAGCCAAUUCCUUAUAACAGAUCUCUCUCUAUAUAUUCAUGUAUACACACAUAGGUAUGUGUACACCAGUCACACACACACGCACACACACAUUGGC
ensembl:lncRNA